rnacentral:rRNA from 1 species
UGGGGAAUAUUGGACAAUGGGCGCAAGCCUGAUCCAGCCAUGCCGCGUGGAUGAUGAAGGCCUUAGGGUUGUAAAAUCCUUUCGUGGGGGACGAUAAUGACGGUACCCCAAGAAGAAGCUCCGGCUAACUUCGUGCCAGCAGCCGCGGUAAUACGAAGGGGGCUAGCGUUGUUCGGAUUUACUGGGCGUAAAGCGCGUGUAGGCGGGUCGUUAAGUUGGGGGUGAAAUCCCGAGGCUCAACCUCGGAACUGCCUUCAAAACUGGCGACCUGGACUCAAGCAGAGGCAAGUGGAAUUGCGAGUGUAGAGGUGAAAUUCGUAGAUAUUCGCAGGAACACCAGUGGCGAAGGCGACUUGCUGGGCUUGUAAUGACGCUGAGACGCGAAAGCGUGGGGAGCAAACAGGAUUAGAUACCCCGGUAGUCCCUGAGCGGGCUGGCAAGGCGCAU